rnacentral:rRNA from 1 species
UACGUAGGGUGCGAGCGUUAAUCGGAAUUACUGGGCGUAAAGCGUGCGCAGGCGGUUUUGUAAGACAGGCGUGAAAUCCCCGGGCUUAACCUGGGAAUGGCCUUCAGGACUGCGAGGCUAGAGUGCGGCAGAGGGAGGUGGAAUUCCACGUGUAGCAGUGAAAUGACGUAGAUAUGUGGAGGAACACCGAUGGCGAAGGCAGCCUCCUGGGCCAGCACU